rnacentral:rRNA from 1 species
CCUACGGGAGGCAGCAGUGGGGAAUAUUGCACAAUGGGCGCAAGCCUGAUGCAGCCAUGCCGCGUGUGUGAAGAAGGCCUUCGGGUUGUAAAGCACUUUCAGCGGGGAGGAAGGCGUUAAGGUUAAUAACCUUGUCGAUUGACGUUACCCGCAGAAGAAGCACCGGCUAACUCCGUGCCAGCAGCCGCGGUAAUACGGAGGGUGCAAGCGUUAAUCGGAAUUACUGGGCGUAAAGCGCACGCAGGCGGUCUGUCAAGUCGGAUGUGAAAUCCCCGGGCUCAACCUGGGAACUGCAUUCGAAACUGGCAGGCUAGAGUCUUGUAGAGGGGGGUAGAAUUCCAGGUGUAGCGGUGAAAUGCGUAGAGAUCUGGAGGAAUACCGGUGGCGAAGGCGGCCCCCGGGACAAAGACUGACGCUCAGGUGCGAAAGCGUGGGGAGCAAACAGGAUUAGAUACCGUGUAGUC